rnacentral:rRNA from 1 species
UUUUCUCUCCUCCGCUUGAUGAGGGAAUUAUAUGAGUGGUUCUUCUUCACUCCCUCCGUGGACAUCCCUAGAAAAGUGUUUUUGGGCGAGAGUAUUCCCGGCUCUCCCCCGCGCCGCGCACCAUUGGUACGUCACAGAGGCUCCGGGAGGCUCACCUCCAAGCUAUGGGGGGUUCCUUCUACGUGUUGGGCGCCCACAUCAAACAGUGUUUGAAGGGGUUAUUUUGGUUCGGGCAUGGAUGAGGAACGAAGAGAAUUGCGAUAACUAAUUUGAAUGGCAGAAUUCAUGAAUUCAUGGAUUCUUUGAACGCCCAUUGCGCCCGCCAGCAUUCUGGCGGGCAUGCCUGUUCGAGCGUCAUUUCAACCCUCAAGCUCUGCUUGGUGUUGGGGCCCUACAGCUGAUGUAGGCCCUCAAAGGUAGUGGCGGACCCUCCCGGAGCCUCCUUUGCGUAGUAACUUUACGUCUCGCACUGGGAUCCGGAGGGACUCUUGCGCAGUAAAACCCCCAAUUCUCCAAAGGUUGACGCUCGGAUCAGGUAGGAAUACCCGCUAAGCUUAA